AGUGCUCGAAGGACCGCGCAAAGGCAAGCUCAUCACCACCACGCAGGUGGUCUUCCGCGAGACGG
rnacentral:tRNA from 1 species